rnacentral:rRNA from 1 species
CCCAGACUCCUACGGGAGGCAGCAGUGGGGAAUAUUGCACAAUGGGGGGAACCCUGAUGCAGCGACGCCGCGUGGGCGAGGAAGUAUUUCGGUAUGUAAAGCCCUAUCGGCAGGGAAGAAGAAAUGACGGUACCUGAAUAAGAAGCACCGGCUAAAUACGUGCCAGCAGCCGCGGUAAUACGUAUGGUGCAAGCGUUAUCCGGAUUUACUGGGUGUAAAGGGCGAGUAGGCGGGAUUGCAAGUCAGAUGUGAAAACUAUGGGCUCAACCGAUAGAGUGCAUUUGAAACUGCAGUUCUUGAGUGAUGGAGAGGCAGGCGGAAUUCCCGGUGUAGCGGUGGAAUGCGUAGAUAUCGGGAGGAACACCAGUGGCGAAGGCGGCCUGCUGGACAGUAACUGACGCUGAGGCGCGAAAGCGUGGGGAGCAAACAGGAUUAGAUACCCCGGUAC